AUGUUUUUUAAGCGGAGAUGGAUGAGAGAGAGAAAUCCACAUGAUAGCAAAGCUUCAGUUGAUCCAGUUUCUACAGAAAUGCUUCUUUCUCUGCCGUUUCUGUCCCUCAUGGCAUCAAAUUUUAUUACAGAAACAAAAAACACUGUGGGAAAUUCAGAGGAAAUGAAACAUCGCGUGGUCUUUGCAGCAAGUAAGCCACCUGUAGGAAGCCUCCUUCCCAGGAAUCUCUGCCGAAAGAUACCUCUAGAUGAACAGAAGAUUGAAUCACAGUAUCGUAGAAUAUCCUGA
rnacentral:lncRNA from 1 species